UUCCUACGGGAGGCAGCAGUGGGGAAUAUUGCACAAUGGGGGAAACCCUGAUGCAGCGACGCCGCGUGAAGGAAGAAGUAUUUCGGUAUGUAAACUUCUAUCAGCAGAGAAGAAAAUGACGGUACCUGACUAAGAAGCCCCGGCUAACUACGUGCCAGCAGCCGCGGUAAUACGUAGGGGGCAAGCGUUAUCCGGAUUUACUGGGUGUGAAGGGAGCGUAGGCGGUAAUGCAAGUCAGAAGUGAAAGCCCGGGGCUCAACUCCGGGACUGCUUUUGAAACUGCAGAGCUUGAGUGGAGUAGAGGG
rnacentral:rRNA from 1 species